GAUUAAUCAGGUUACUGGUGAUCAAUCAGGUUACUGGUGAUCAAUCAGGUUACUGGUGAUCAAUCAGGUAACUGGUGAUCGAUCAGGUUACUGGUGAUCAAUCAAGUAACUGGUGAUCGAUCAGGUAACUGGUGAUCGAUCAGGUUACUGGUGAUCGAUCAGGUUGCUGAUAAUCGAUCAGGUUGCUGGUGAUCAAUCAGGUUACUGGUGAUCGAUCAGGUUGCUGAUGAUCGAUCUGGUUGCUGGUGAUCGAUCAGGUUGCUGAUGAUCGAUUUAGUUGCUGGUGAUCAAUCAGGUUACUGGUGAUCGAUCAGGUUACUGGUGAUCGAUCAGGUUACUGGUGAUCGAUCAGGUUAUUGGUGAUCAAUCAGGUAUCUGGUGAUCGAUCAGGUUACUCGUGAUCGAUCAGGUUACUGGUGAUCGAUCAAGUUACUGGUGAUCGAUCAGGUUACUGGUGAUUGAUCAGGUUACUGGUGAUCAAUCAGGUUAAUGGUGAUCAAUACCAGUACAG